CAUUGUAAUCGACAUCUUGAACGCAUAUGGCGGCCUCGGGUCCAUCCCGAGGCCACGCCCGUCUGAGGGUCGGCU
rnacentral:rRNA from 1 species